UAUUGCCCUAGAGGACAUUAACCAGUUUUGCACAUAAUUUAGCAAUUUUAUCCUAGCCUUCUUUCUUUUAGUGGCUAUAAAUACAAGUGUUUCUCCUUUGAACCAGAUUUGCCACCUUGCUAAUUCCCUCAUGGACAUAUUAAAAAAAUCUUUAACGUCCUUAAAAACCAACCAAACAACAACCAAAAACCUGAAUACUACUUUUCACCAUAACUGGUUAUAAUCACCUGAAGCUGGUAAAUGACCAUAAACUUUGAGUUCUCCAUUUGCAGAAACUUUUUUUCUUACUGAAGACCUUUUCCUGACCACAUACAAUAGAAAUUUUUUAACCAACAGCACACAGAUUUAUGGACUCAUUCUGUCUUAUCCAGAGUUCUGGAUAACUGAACAAUGAACUUAACUGAACAAGGAGUCCAUGAAUUCUUCAUCCACCAUGAUAUGUUCUCCUUAAAUGACCAACUUAAAGAAUUUCUUCACUCCUGUGUGCACUCUUGUCCUUUGUCUGGUAUGGAGAGUGUCAUUGUUGACAAGUUGUCACAGCAGCACCAACAUUUUGCUGACCAGCCAGAUGGGUUUUGACAGUUUCACUGAAAAAGGACACAGUGUGAUCGAGAUACCAAUAUUAAGAGUGAAUACAAAACAUAAGAAGUGACAAAAGCUCACCUAAGACCUAUAAUAAAUGAUUCUGGAGCCAUA